rnacentral:rRNA from 1 species
CAUGCAAGUCGAACGAAGGCUUCGGCCUUAGUGGCGCACGGGUGCGUAACGCGUGGGAAUCUGCCCUUGGGUUCGGAAUAACAGUUAGAAAUGACUGCUAAUACCGGAUGAUGUCGCAAGACCAAAGAUUUAUCGCCCAAGGAUGAGCCCGCGUAGGAUUAGCUAGUUGGUGAGGUAAAAGCUCACCAAGGCGACGAUCCUUAGCUGGUCUGAGAGGAUGAUCAGCCACACUGGGACUGAGACACGGCCCAGACUCCUACGGGAGGCAGCAGUGGGGAAUAUUGGACAAUGGGCGAAAGCCUGAUCCAGCAAUGCCGCGUGAGUGAUGAAGGCCUUAGGGUUGUAAAGCUCUUUUACCCGGGAUGAUAAUGACAGUACCGGGAGAAUAAGCUCCGGCUAACUUCGUGCCAGCAGCCGCGGUAAUACGAGGGGAGCUAGCGUUAUUCGGAAUUACUGGGCGUAAAGCGCACGUAGGCGGCUUUGUAAGUUAGAGGUGAAAGCCCGGGGCUCAACUCCGGAAUUGCCUUUAAGACUGCAUCGCUUGAAUCCAGGAGAGGUGAGUGGAAUUCCGAGUGUAGAGGUGAAAUUCGUAGAUAUUAGGAAGAACACCAGUGGCGAANGCGGCUCACUGGCCCGGUACUGACGCUCA